GCCUGGCUGGCUCAGUUGCUACAGCAUGAGCUUCUUGAUCUCAGAGUCGUGAGUUUGAGCCCCACGUUGGGUG
rnacentral:tRNA from 1 species